UAGACAUUACAAUUCGAGAUGUCGUUAAUCUAACGCGGUUAGAAAUCAUAAUUAUAUAGAGCAUUCUCUUUCUUUCUCUCUCUCUCGCUCUCUCUUUCUCUCAUUAUUUUUUUUUUGUUUCUUUGUUAAACUUUAUCUCUGUUGCAUCUUCUCUCGUUACAGGUAUCAUUAACUUCUAUGCAUCGGUGUGGCGUGGACAUGAAUUCUACCCAAUGGAGAAUGAUCGAUCUUACCGUUUCUUCAACACCUUACGAGUUGUGCAUGGAGGUACCUCGAGGGGCACACACAGGCUAAAGGUUAUUUCCAUAUCUUUCUUACUGCAUUCUGCGCCAAUUUCCAUCAAAGGUAAAAUGCAAUCCAGUCAGAAUAUUAAACAUUGCACGGGUUCUUCGCUAUUGCACGACUGUUUUGUAUACAUGUGUCUGUGUAUAGAGUGUGUCUGUGUAAUUUUAUUGCACUGUUUAGUUUCCUUCUUAACCCGUUUGGCACUUGUGUCUUUGUCAUCCCAAAUCGACCAGAUUUUUAGCGUUGAUUUAAUUGUUGAUUCUCUGUUUUCAGUUGGAUCGAAGUUGUGCCAAGAUCAGCACUCGAGGAUUCAACUCGAUCGCGGGUUAAGAACGAUCAACCGUUGAUCUUUUCAUAACUCCUGAUAGCUUCUGAAGAGGACUUCUUAGAUUAGAAGCUCGCCGCAUACAGCCUCCUCCGCCCUGAUUCACCGAAGACACCUCCAAUCACAACGGCGAUGAUCGAUACGACCGGACGACCGGACGAGCUUCCCCCGUCUCUCGCCGUUGGAAAAGGGAACCUCGUCGUCCGACCGUACGAUAUCACGUCAAGGUACUGCUCCCGGUUAGCUGCUGCUGUAUUCUCUGUGUCGGUUGGCUGAUCCUAUGGAGGUUUAGAAGUCUAACGGUUGAUCAGCAGACCCUUCAAGAUCCUGAGUCACAUCUGUACCUCCGUCCUCGUCGUCAUCCAGAUCCACGCUGUUGGUCUUCAGACCUCCGCUGCUUAUCUUGUUCACUAUCAUAUCUGAAAUGUUAACGAUACAUUAAUAAUGGUUAAUACGUAUUAAUAAUUGCUAUUAAUUGGAUGAUAUGUAGGUGGCCAUAACCACCUGGGAAGCCUUCAGAACGACAUGAAUAACUAAUUAUAUUUUUCACCAAUAAGGUAGAUAAUUAAUAUUUAAUUUUUGAGGCAUAAUAUAUGCACUUUUAUCAUUAAAGAAUGUAGAUUGAAGUCUUAGCUACAAAUCUACUGUAGUUAUGUACAUAUUUGAGUUCUAAUUAGUUAGUUAUUAAUGAUUUUUCUAAGGCACAGUUUGUGUUGGUGGAAAUACUAUUAAUAUCAUAAGCUAAUACCAUCCAUUAUAAGAUCAAUCAGUAUACUUUUGCAAUGAAGAAACAUAGUAUGAA